GAGGGUGUAGCUCAGUGGUAGAGUGUGUGUUUAGCACGCACAAGGUCCUGGGUUCAAUUCCCAGUACCUCUA
rnacentral:tRNA from 1 species